rnacentral:rRNA from 1 species
UACGUAGGGGGCUAGCGUUGUUCGGAAUCAUUGGGCGUAAAGGGCGCGUAGGCGGCCGAUCACGUCGGAGGUGAAAUCCCUCGGCUCAACUGAGGAAUUGCCUUCGAUACUGUUCGGCUUGAGUCCUGGAGAGGGUAGCGGAAUUCCCGGUGUAGCGGUGAAAUGCGUAGAUAUGUGGAGGAACACCGAUGGCGAAGGCAGCCCCCUGGGCUAAGAUUGACGCUCAUGCACGAAAGCGUGGGGAGCAAACAGG